GACGAACCGAGCGAACGUUGUUCGGAAUCACUGGGCUUAAAGGGCGCGUAGGCGGGCUGUCAAGUCUGGGGUGAAAUCCCGCGGCUCAACCGCGGAACUGCCUCAGAUACUGACGGUCUCGAGGGGGGUAGGGGCGAGCGGAACUGAUGGUGGAGCGGUGAAAUGCGUUGAUAUCAUCAGGAACUCCGGUGGCGAAGGCGGCUCGCUGGACCCCUUCUGACGCUGAGGCGCGAAAGCUAGGGGAGCAAACAGG
rnacentral:rRNA from 1 species